AAUGAACGCUGGCGGCAUGCCUUACACAUGCAAGUCGAACGGCAGCGUGACCUAGCUUGCUAGGUUGAUGGCGAGUGGCGAACGGGUGAGUAAUGCAUCGGAACGUGCCUUUUAGUGGGGGAUAACGUAGCGAAAGUUACGCUAAUACCGCAUAUUCUCUGAGGAGGAAAGCAGGGGACCUUCGGGCCUUGCGCUAGAAGAGCGGCCGAUGUCGGAUUAGCUAGUUGGUGAGGUAAAGGCUCACCAAGGCAACGAUCCGUAGCGGGUCUGAGAGGAUGAUCCGCCACACUGGGACUGAGACAAGGCCCAGACUCCUACGGGAGGCAGCAGUGGGGAAUUUUGGACAAUGGGCGCAAGCCUGAUCCAGCCAUGCCGCGUGAGUGAAGAAGGCCUUCGGGUUGUAAAGCUCUUUCGGCUGGGAAGAAAUCGCACCCUCUAAUACAGGGUGUGGAUGACGGUACCAGCAUAAGAAGCACCGGCUAACUACGUG
rnacentral:rRNA from 1 species